rnacentral:rRNA from 1 species
GGAUUAGAUACCCUGGUAGUCCACGCUGUAAACGAUGGGUACUAGAUUUGGUGGGUCUUGACCCCCGCCGAAUCGGCGCUAACGCAAUAAGUACCCCGCCUGGGAAGUACGGUCGCAAGACUAAAACUCAAAGGAAUUGACGGGGGCCCGCACAAGCGGUGGAUCAUGUGGUUUAAUUCGAAGCAACGCGAAGAACCUUACCUGGAUUUGACAUCCUCUGACAACCCUAGAGAUAGGGCUUCUGUAGCAAUACAGCAGAGAGACAGGUGCUGCAUGGCUGUCGUCAGCUCGUGCCG